rnacentral:rRNA from 1 species
GAUUCCUACGGGAGGCAGCAGUGAGGAAUAUUGGUCAAUGGGCGCAAGCCUGAACCAGCCAUCCCGCGUGAAGGAAGAAGGCGCUAUGCGUUGUAAACUUCUUUUCCAGGAGAAUAAAAUUCUGUACGUGUACGGAAUUGAAGGUACCCUGGGAAUAAGCAUCGGCUAACUCCGUGCCAGCAGCCGCGGUAAUAAUC